GAUGAACGCUGGCGGCGUGCCUAAUACAUGCAAGUCGAGCGAACGGACGAGAAGCUUGCUUCUCUGAUGUUAGCGGCGGACGGGUGAGUAACACGUGGAUAACCUACCUAUAAGACUGGGAUAACUUCGGGAAACCGGAGCUAAUACCGGAUAAUAUUUUGAACCGCAUGGUUCAAAAGUGAAAGACGGUCUUGCUGUCACUUAUAGAUGGAUCCGCGCUGCAUUAGCUAGUUGGUAAGGUAACGGCUUACCAAGGCAACGAUGCAUAGCCGACCUGAGAGGGUGAGGGGCGACAGUGGAACGGAGAACCGGGCCAGGGGCCGACGGGUGGCAGCAGUAGGGAAUUUUCCGCAAUGGGGGAAAGACUGACGGAGCAACGCCGCGUGAGUGAUGAAGGUCUUCGGAUCGUAAAACUCUGUUAUUAGGGAAGAACAUAUGUGUAAGUAACUGUGCACAGCUUGACGGUACCUAAUCAGAAAGCCACGGCUAACUACGUG
rnacentral:rRNA from 1 species